rnacentral:rRNA from 1 species
AUACGUAGGUGGCAAGCGUUGUCCGGAAUUAUUGGGCGUAAAGCGCGCGCAGGCGGUUCUUUAAGUCUGAUGUGAAAGCCCACGGCUCAACCGUGGAGGGUCAUUGGAAACUGGAGGACUUGAGUGCAGAAGAGGAAAGUGGAAUUCCAAGUGUAGCGGUGAAAUGCGUAGAGAUUUGGAGGAACACCAGUGGCGAAGGCGACUUUCUGGUCUGUAACUGACGCUGAGGCGCGAAAGCGUGGGGAGCAAACAGGAUUAGAUACCCUGGUAGUCCACGCCGUAAACGAUGAGUGCUAAGUGUUAGGGGGUUUCCGCCCCUUAGUGCUGCAGCUAACGCAUUAAGCACUCCGCCUGGGGAGUACGGUCGCAAGACUGAAACUCAAAUGAAUUGACGGGG